AUUGAACGCUGGCGGCAGGCCUAACACAUGCAAGUCGAACGGAGUGGCGGACGGGCGAGUAAUGUCGGGGAAACUGCGUGACGGAGGGGGCUAACUACUGGAAACGGACGCUAAUACUGCAUACUAUCAGUUGGGCUUAGGUCGGAUUAGCUAGUUGGUGAGGUAAUGGCUCACCAAGGCUACGAUCCGUACCGGGUCUGAGAGGAUGAUCAGCCACACUGGAACUGAGACAUGGUCCAGACUCCUACGGGAGGCAGCAGUGGGGAAUAUUGGGCAAUGGGCGAAAGCCUGAUCCAGCCAUGCCGCGUGUGUGAAGAAGGUCUUCGGAUUGUAAAGCACUGUAAGUUGGGAGGCGUUACCGACAGAAUAAGCACCGGCUAACUCUGUGCCAGCAGCCGCGGUAAUUC
rnacentral:rRNA from 1 species